rnacentral:ncRNA from 1 species
UACCUGGUUGAUCCUGCCAGUAGUCAUAUGCUUGUCUCAAAGAUUAAGCCAUGCAAGUCUAAGUACGAGCUCUCGUACAGUGAAACUGCGAAUGGCUCAUUAAAUCAGUUAUGGUUCAUUUGAUCGUACAGUUUACUUGGAUAACUGUGGUAAUUCUAGAGCUAAUACAUGCGAGAAGCGCCGACCUCGCGGGAGGCGAGCAUUUAUCAGACCAAAAACCGGCCGCGUCUUCGGGCGCGUUCGCCUUGGUGACUCUGGAUAACUUUGCGGAUCGCACGGUCUAGCACCGGCGACGGAUCAUUCAAGUGUCUGCCCUAUCAACUUUCGUCGGUACGGUAUUUGCCUACCGAGGUUCUUACGGGUGACGGGGAAUCAGGGUUCGAUUCCGGAGAGGGAGCCUGAGAAACGGCUACCACAUCCAAGGAAGGCAGCAGGCGCGCAAAUUACCCAUUCCCGACGCGGGGAGGUAGUGACGAAAAAUAACAAUGCAGGACUCGUUCGAGGCCCUGUAAUUGGAAUGAGUACACUUUAAAAGCUUUAACGAGUAUCCAUUGGAGGGCAAGUCUGGUGCCAGCAGCCGCGGUAAUUCCAGCUCCAAAAGUAUAUAUUUAAGUUGUUGCGGUUAAAAAGCUCGUAGUUGGAUUUUGGGCGCAGGCGGCCGGUCCGUCGCAAGGCGUGUACUGGACGUCCUGGCCUUCCCUCCGGUUCUCCGCCGGUGCUCUUGACUGAGUGUCGGCGGCGGCCGGAACGUUUACUUUGAAAAAAUUAGAGUGUUCAAAGCAGGCUCUCGAGCCUGGAUAAUGGUGCAUGGAAUAAU